rnacentral:hammerhead_ribozyme from 1 species
GCACUGCUGAUGAGUCUCAAACAGGACGAAACAGCUGUCCAAUGC